rnacentral:rRNA from 1 species
GAUGAACGCUAGCGGGAGGCCUAACACAUGCAAGCCGAGCGGUAGAGAUUCUUCGGAAUCUUGAGAGCGGCGUACGGUGCGGAACACGUGUGCAACCUACCUUUAUCUGGAGGAUAGCCUUUCGAAAGGAAGAUUAAUACUCCAUAAUAUAUUGAUUGGCAUCAAUUGAUAUUGAAAGCUCCGGCGGAUAGAGAUGGGCACGCGCAAGAUUAGUUAGUUGGUGAGGUAACGGCUCACCAAGACGAUGAUCUUUAGGGGGCCUGAGAGGGUAAUCCCCACACUGGUACUGAGACACGGACCAGACUCCUACGGGAGGCAGCAGUGAGGAAUAUUGGUCAAUGGGUGGCAAGCCUGAACCAGCCAUCCCGCC